AAACCAUGAUGUGGACACUCUAAAACAAGGUCUUUGAAACGUUCCAUACAUCUAGAGAAUGAUUCAUUGUGUCGCUGGAGAAACUGGAGAAUGUCAUUUCUAAGUUU
rnacentral:snoRNA from 1 species